rnacentral:lncRNA from 1 species
AAAAAAGUUUAUAUUUCUGAAAAAGGUACUUUGGAGAUGAAAACUGUGCCUGUCGAGACGUUGAGAACCAAGAGCUUAUUCAUGUACAAUUUAAAAAAUAUGUAACACAGCAGCAAACGACUACCACUAAUAUACCGGAUCCUGACAUAGGACAGGCACAUACAUACAAAAUGUGGCGUUGUUUAACAUGUUAACGGGCGCCAAACCCUUCCCUAACCUGGGAC